AUUGAACGCUGGCGGCAUGCUUUACACAUGCAAGUCGAACGGUAACAGGGAGCUUGCUCCGCUGACGAGUGGCGAACGGGUGAGUAAUGCGUCGGAACGUGCCGAGUAGUGGGGGAUAACGCAUCGAAAGGUGUGCUAAUACCGCAUACGUACUGAGGUAGAAAGUGGGGGACCUUCGGGCCUCACGCUAUUCGAGCGGCCGACGUCUGAUUAGCUAGUUGGUGAGGUAAAGGCUCACCAAGGCGACGAUCAGUAGCGGGUCUGAGAGGAUGAUCCGCGACACUGGGACUGAGACACGGCCCAGACUCCUACGGGAGGCAGCAGUGGGGAAUUUUGGAAAAUGGGCGCAAGCCUGAGCCAGCCAUGCCGCGUGUCUGAAGGAGGCCUUCGGGUUGUAAAGGACUUUUGUCCGGGAGCAAAUGCUGGUGGCUAACAUCCACCGGAGCUGAGAGUACCGGAAGAAUAAGCACCGGCUAACUACGUGCCAGCAGCCGCCGUAAUAC
rnacentral:rRNA from 1 species